rnacentral:rRNA from 1 species
CAGUAGCCGCGGUAAUACGAAGGGGGCUAGCGUUGCUCGGAAUGACUGGGCGUAAAGGGCUCGCAGGCGGUUUCUUAAGUCUGAUGUGAAAGCCCCCGGCUCAACCGGGGAGGGUCAUUGGAAACUGGGAAACUUGAGUGCAGAAGAGGAGAGUGGAAUUCCACGUGUAGCGGUGAAAUGCGUAGAGAUGUGGAGGAACACCAGUGGCGAAGGCGACUCUCUGGUCUGUAACUGACGCUGAGGAGCGAAAGCGUGGGGAGCGAACAGGAUUAGAUACCCCUGUAGUCCCUGUCUCUUAUAA